GCGUACGUGGUUCGGGUGGGCGGAGGGAUAGGGAGGGUGAGAGGGUUGUCGGGAAUUAUGGGGCGUGAAGGGCGCGGGUGCGGCCUGUGUGGUCGGAGGGGAGAGCCCGGGGCGUAACCCCGGGUCUGCAUUCGAUACGGGCAGGCUGGAGUGUGGUAGGGGGGAUCGGAAUUCCUGGUGUAGCGGUGAAAUGCGCAGAUAUCAGGAGGAACACCGGUGGCGAAGGCGGAUCUCUGGGCCAUUACUGACGCUGAGGAGCGAAAGCGUGGGGAGCGAACAGGAUUAGAUACCCCAGUAGUC
rnacentral:rRNA from 1 species